UAAGCGUACACGGUGGAUGCCCUGGCAGUCAGAGGCGAUGAAGGACGUGCUAAUCUGCGAUAAGCGUCGGUAAGGUGAUAUGAACCGUUAUAACCGGCGAUUUCCGAAUGGGGAAACCCAGUGUGAUUCGUCACACUAUCAUUAACUGAAUCCAUAGGUUAAUGAGGCGAACCGGGGGAACUGAAACAUCUAAGUACCCCGAGGAAAAGAAAUCAACCGAGAUUCCCCCAGUAGCGGCGAGCGAACGGGGAGGAGCCCAGAGCCUGAAUCAGUGUGUGUGUUAGUGGAAGCGUCUGGAAAGGCGCGCGAUACAGGGUGACAGCCCCGUACACAAAAAUGCACAUGCUGUGAGCUCGAUGAGUAGGGCGGGACACGUGGUAUCCUGUCUGAAUAUGGGGGGACCAUCCUCCAAGGCUAAAUACUCCUGACUGACCGAUAGUGAACCAGUACCGUGAGGGAAAGGCGAAAAGAACCCCGGCGAGGGGAGUGAAAAAGAACCUGAAACCGUGUACGUACAAGCAGUGGGAGCACAGAGCAAUCUGUGUGACUGCGUACCUUUUGUAUAAUGGGUCAGCGACUUAUAUUCUGUAGCAAGGUUAACCGAAUAGGGGAGCCGAAGGGAAACCGAGUCUUAACUGGGCGUUAAGUUGCAGGGUAUAGACCCGAAACCCGGUGAUCUAGCCAUGGGCAGGUUGAAGGUUGGGUAACACUAACUGGAGGACCGAACCGACUAAUGUUGAAAAAUUAGCGGAUGACUUGUGGCUGGGGGUGAAAGGCCAAUCAAACCGGGAGAUAGCUGGUUCUCCCCGAAAGCUAUUUAGGUAGCGCCUCGUGAAUUCAUCUCCGGGGGUAGAGCACUGUUUCGGCAAGGGGGUCAUCCCGACUUACCAACCCGAUGCAAACUGCGAAUACCGGAGAAUGUUAUCACGGGAGACACACGGCGGGUGCUAACGUCCGUCGUGAAGAGGGAAACAACCCAGACCGCCAGCUAAGGUCCCAAAGUCAUGGUUAAGUGGGAAACGAUGUGGGAAGGCCCAGACAGCCAGGAUGUUGGCUUAGAAGCAGCCAUCAUUUAAAGAAAGCGUAAUAGCUCACUGGUCGAGUCGGCCUGCGCGGAAGAUGUAACGGGGCUAAACCAUGCACCGAAGCUGCGGCAGCGACGCUGAUGCGUUGUUGGGUAGGGGAGCGUUCUGUAAGCCUGUGAAGGUGUGCUGUGAGGCAUGCUGGAGGUAUCAGAAGUGCGAAUGCUGACAUAAGUAACGAUAAAGCGGGUGAAAAGCCCGCUCGCCGGAAGACCAAGGGUUCCUGUCCAACGUUAAUCGGGGCAGGGUGAGUCGACCCCUAAGGCGAGGCCGAAAGGCGUAGUCGAUGGGAAACAGGUUAAUAUUCCUGUACUUGGUGUUACUGCGAAGGGGGGACGGAGAAGGCUAUGUUGGCCGGGCGACGGUUGUCCCGGUUUAAGCGUGUAGGCUGGUUUUCCAGGCAAAUCCGGAAAACUAAGGCUGAGGCGUGAUGACGAGGCACUACGGUGCUGAAGCAACAAAUGCCCUGCUUCCAGGAAAAGCCUCUAAGCAUCAGGUAACAUCAAAUCGUACCCCAAACCGACACAGGUGGUCAGGUAGAGAAUACCAAGGCGCUUGAGAGAACUCGGGUGAAGGAACUAGGCAAAAUGGUGCCGUAACUUCGGGAGAAGGCACGCUGAUAUGUAGGUGAAGUCCCUCGCGGAUGGAGCUGAAAUCAGUCGAAGAUACCAGCUGGCUGCAACUGUUUAUUAAAAACACAGCACUGUGCAAACACGAAAGUGGACGUAUACGGUGUGACGCCUGCCCGGUGCCGGAAGGUUAAUUGAUGGGGUCAGCGCAAGCGAAGCUCUUGAUCGAAGCCCCGGUAAACGGCGGCCGUAACUAUAACGGUCCUAAGGUAGCGAAAUUCCUUGUCGGGUAAGUUCCGACCUGCACGAAUGGCGUAAUGAUGGCCAGGCUGUCUCCACCCGAGACUCAGUGAAAUUGAACUCGCUGUGAAGAUGCAGUGUACCCGCGGCAAGACGGAAAGACCCCGUGAACCUUUACUAUAGCUUGACACUGAACAUUGAGCCUUGAUGUGUAGGAUAGGUGGGAGGCUUUGAAGUGUGGACGCCAGUCUGCAUGGAGCCGACCUUGAAAUACCACCCUUUAAUGUUUGAUGUUCUAACGUUGACCCGUAAUCCGGGUUGCGGACAGUGUCUGGUGGGUAGUUUGACUGGGGCGGUCUCCUCCUAAAGAGUAACGGAGGAGCACGAAGGUUGGCUAAUCCUGGUCGGACAUCAGGAGGUUAGUGCAAUGGCAUAAGCCAGCUUGACUGCGAGCGUGACGGCGCGAGCAGGUGCGAAAGCAGGUCAUAGUGAUCCGGUGGUUCUGAAUGGAAGGGCCAUCGCUCAACGGAUAAAAGGUACUCCGGGGAUAACAGGCUGAUACCGCCCAAGAGUUCAUAUCGACGGCGGUGUUUGGCACCUCGAUGUCGGCUCAUCACAUCCUGGGGCUGAAGUAGGUCCCAAGGGUAUGGCUGUUCGCCAUUUAAAGUGGUACGCGAGCUGGGUUUAGAACGUCGUGAGACAGUUCGGUCCCUAUCUGCCGUGGGCGCUGGAGAACUGAGGGGGGCUGCUCCUAGUACGAGAGGACCGGAGUGGACGCAUCACUGGUGUUCGGGUUGUCAUGCCAAUGGCACUGCCCGGUAGCUAAAUGCGGAAGAGAUAAGUGCUGAAAGCAUCUAAGCACGAAACUUGCCCCGAGAUGAGUUCUCCCUGACUCCUUGAGAGUCCUGAAGGAACGUUGAAGACGACGACGUUGAUAGGCCGG
rnacentral:rRNA from 1 species